GUGCACGGGGGCUUAGUGGUCAGCACGUUUGUCUCACAUUUCCAGGGUCGGGGGUUCGAUUCCCACCGUGGCCC